rnacentral:rRNA from 1 species
AGUGAACGCUGGCGGUAGGCCUAACACAUGCAAGUCGAACGGCAGCACAGUAAGAGCUUGCUCUUACGGGUGGCGAGUGGCGGACGGGUGAGGAAUACAUCGGAAUCUACUUUUUCGUGGGGGAUAACGUAGGGAAACUUACGCUAAUACCGCAUACGACCUACGGGUGAAAGCAGGGGAUCUUCGGACCUUGCGCGAUUGAAUGAGCCGAUGUCGGAUUAGCUAGUUGGCGGGGUAAAGGCCCACCAAGGCGACGAUCCGUAGCUGGUCUGAGAGGAUGAUCAGCAACACUGGAACUGAGACACGGUCCAGACUCCUACGGGAGGCAGCAGCGGGGAAUAUUGGACAAUGGACGCAAGCCUGAUCCAGCCAUACCGCGUGGGUGAAGAAGGCCUUCGGGUUGUAAAGCCCUUUUGUUGGGAAAGAAAAGCAGCAGGUUAAUACCCCGCUGUUCUGACGGUACCCAAAGAAUAAGCACCGGCUAACUUCGUG